UAACUAAAACUCGAUCUUUGUGAUCUGUAUUACAUGAAAUUUCAUAUGUUGAAUCGACAACACUGCAUGAGCGACUACCGUAUAUGUCUUUUGGUGUUUGUGUUUGGUUUGCUUUAAUGUUGAUACUAGAAAUUGAUGAAAAUGCAAUAUAAUAUUCCGAAUGUUGAGAGAGAUUCUAAGGAUUGAAUGGAAACUGAUUGUUCCUUGUGAGGACUUGGGAAAACUGUUUGUCUUCUGUUGAGACUUGAGUUAAAGAUCGAAGUAUACUCAACAAAAAUAAUUUCCUGUUUUUAUUACGCAAAACAAUAAGCUUUUUUUCUUUUGGUUUUGACCAAUAUAAAUAAAAGUGUAAAAAAAUAAGAGAAUAUUUUAUGAACAUUUGAAAGUUUGGUUCAACCAUAUUUUGUGUGUUUCUGUACAUGUUUCGCAUCAAAAAUAUUUCCUGAGCUUUUUUUUUAAAUAUAUAUAAAUAAUAUAAAACAGAACAACUUUUGAAUUCCCAAAGUGAAAUUCAGGAAAUGUUUGUAAAGUAGUGGAUCAAUGACAAUGUGUAUCAUUUUAUUGUAAAAAUUCGAAAAAUCAGAAUUGGAGAAAUAACAUUCUUUUAAAAUUUUGUUCAACUGCAUUUUCAUCACUUGAAUUAGUAUUAACAUUAUAUAUAAUCAAUUCAAAGCGGUUGUCAGGUUAAAAAUGACGCUCAAAGAUAUAUGGCUCCGAAAGACUGCAGGAUAAUUUCAAAUUCUUGAUUUUGCACUUGAAAGAAGUGUGGUUCAAUUGAGUGUGGAAACCAUGAUCUAGUUGUAAUGUUUCGAUGUUUAAAGAUAUAAUUUCUGAGUUUAAUGAAGUAUGUUGUCAAUGACAAUGCAUUGUCAAAAUGUUAAGGCACUUUGAGGAAAUUAAUUUGCUUCAAGAAAUGGAAUUUGUUGUCAACGACAAUUUCUUGCCAACCACUUGACAACUGAUCUGGCAUUACAACGAAUGGACUUCUCUUAGCAUCUAAACAUCGCGAUAAAAUCAUUUUCCAUACUCAAGCGAAAAUUUUGGUCACUUUACCAAAAAUAGUUGGUUCGUAUCCAAAAAAGUAAAAGAGCAUGUUCGAUUUACUUUGUCUUUGAGCCAUAUAUUUUCUUUGUAAAACAACCUGGUGUUAAGCUUUUGAUUUCUCCGUCAAACUCGUAAAAUUUAUCAUUGUUGUUUUACAAUAUUUAUUUUGAAGUAUAAACAUUAUCUUGAAAAGACCAGGUUCUCUUGUUUCCCAAGAAUUGACUUUUUUAAUGUUAAUUCGUGGGCAAACAAGUUUUUUAAUGUUGUGUUUUCACUUGUGCUUAUUCACUUGUGUUAACCACAAUGUUAAUUGUUCUCUUUGUGCCAUGUUCUGUUUUCUUCUAUUGUUAUUAUUUAAAUAAGUAUGCAGUGGUUGUUCUCUUUUUAUUGGUAUUCAAUUUGUAAUUACAAUUCUUUUCAAUAAAUUGUUCAUUAAUUAUACAAGAGACUCCUUUUUAAUUAAAAAUUCAAUUCCCAUGGGAAUUGAAAAAAAAAAUAAAAAAAUUUUCCCUACCCCGGCCGGCUCCCCAAGUGCUACCUCUACUUCAAGUAGAAGUACUUCUACUAUGCAGUAAAAGUACUUCUACUUAAAGUAGAGGUAGCACUCGGAGAGCCAGCCGGGGUAGCGGGGCAACGAGAAGACCAACCUAGCAAAUGCUAAACAAUGCAAAUUGCUAAGUCGAUCUUCUCUUGAGAGCAGCCACGCGCAUACCUAGCAAAUGUAAACAACAAGCAUUAGUAACAAAUACUCGGCAUGCAAAUUUUGAAUCCCAUGGCCGAAAUGACAAGUGCCCCCCACUGAUUCCUACCAACUGCCUACCUGCCUCAGUCCUAAGCUGUCUGCCUCAGUCCUAAGCUGUCUGCCUUGGUCCUAAGCUACCUGCAUUCCAUUCGUAACUUCCGCUUUCCUCACCAUCACACAGACACUCACAACUGCCCAACCUGCCACCAGCCCGAACUGCCCACCCUUAAAACUGAAGGAAUUAAAAUUUUGGUAAAGUAUACAUAAUUAAUUUAAUUAAUCGGAUAUUUUAGGCCAAACGUAAACAGAUAAAUUGAGAAAGACCGCGUAUACAAACAGGUGAGUUUCUUACUGGCCUCUUAAUAUACAUGUAAUUUACAUAGAAAAAUAUACGAAACCUCGAAAUCCGGAUUUUUCGGUUUUUCCUUCUAUAUUACUUUACUAGCAGACUAUAAUUUUAGUUUAAAUAACGAAACUGAAUAGAUUUUGCUGACGUUAGGAAAUUAGUCCUUUUGUUCCGAAAGAUAUUUUCUUUUUAAAUAUGCUCUCAAAAUUUUAAUUCCUUUAGUUUAGCCUAACCCCAUGCAUCCUACACACACGGCGCACACUCUCGCACUCCAUACAUUUAGCUAACAAAUUACGUUAUAAACAAAAAAGCGAAAUAAAAAGAUAAAUUACGUUAUCACUAGCUAUCCUAUAACCCACUUAGACUGAGUUUUGGAUUCUGGUUCGAAACGUAAAAUCUUAACUGAAAGGGUCUGGGCUUGAGUUUUGUUAACUGGUCCGAAAUAAAUAUAUACAAACCUUAAACUUACCUAAACCAAAGGCUCGAUUAAAUAAGCAUGAGAAUGCAUAGAAUCAUUUUAAAAACUUUUUCAUGAGAAUUUAAAAUCCAAAUGAAAAUUACAAUAUCGCUAGUUUAGUGAGCAUAUAGUAUUGUUUCUUUAUAUAGUUCAAACAGAUCGAAACAGACUUAACCGCAAUUCUCAUACUCAUUUAACCGGAACGCCUUGAUGACAUUUGCAUGGCACGUCGCAGCUGCUCUCAAGCACUUCCGUAAUUUGCUUUAGCGCAGACAAACAAGAUACUUAUCAUAUAAUCAAAGAGGAUUCAUUCAUUAUAAAGUCAAAUUUCCACUAUGAAAUCAACAUCAACAUGAAAACAAAGCAUAUAUAUUCCCCUGGGAAUUGAAAAUACG